AAUUUUGGACAAUGGGCGCAAGCCUGAUCCAGCCGUGCCGCGUGAGUGCAGGAGGCCUUCGGGUUGUCAACUUCUUUCGGCCGGUAAGAAAUCGCGCAGGCUAUUACCCGGCGCGGCUCGCGGUACCUUCCUAAAGAGCGCCGGCUAACUUCGUGCCGGCAGCCGCGGUAAUACGGAGGGGUGGGGCGUUAAUCGGAAUUACUGGGCGUAAAGCGUGCGCAGGCGGUUGAUUAAGACAGGCGUGAAAUCCCCGGGCUUAACCUGGGAACUGCGCUUGUGACUGGUCAGCUAGAGUACGGCAGAGGGGGGUGGAAUGCCACGUGUAGCAGUGAAAUGCGUAGAGAUGUGGAGGAACACCGAUGGCGAAGGCAGCCCCCUGGGCCGAUACUGACGCUCAUGCACGAAAGCGUGGGUAGCAAACAGG
rnacentral:rRNA from 1 species